CCUACGGGACGCAGCAGUCGGGAAUAUUGCACAAUGGAGGAAACUCUGAUGCAGUGACGCCGCGUGCAGGAAGAAGGUUUUCGGAUUGUAAACUGCUUUAGAUAGGGAAGAUAAAAGACUGUACCUAUAGAAUAAGCUCCGGCUAACUACGUGCCAGCAGCCGCGGUAAUACGUAGGGAGCAAGCGUUAUCCGGAUUUAUUGGGUGUAAAGGGUGCGUAGACGGGCUAACAAGUUAGUUGUGAAAUCCCUCGGCUCAACUGAGGAACUGCAACUAAAACUAUUAGUCUUGAGUGCGGGAGAGGAA
rnacentral:rRNA from 1 species